CAUUAUUACAAGAAUAUUCCAAAGAAUUUAUGUAAGAAACUUCAAGAAAAAUAGGACUGAUAAGAGUACUAUCUGGAGUAACUGCUCCACUUGAUACUUGUACAAGCUGAAGCGAAAUCCAGUUGCUCAUCAGCCACACGCACGCAUCCAGCACGUACAGUUAUGGUGACCGCGGCUGUUACGAACGUUUCUUCUAAACCUCUAUGGUGCUUUAAUUUGAGCAGUGGAGUGGAUUGGAUGCCUUCGGAACACUGCUUUUAUAGUGGAGUGGAGUGGAUGCCUUCAAUUCUGACAAAACGUAUAGUGGACUAGUCUACUACUCUACUCCUUUAUUCAAUUCCUUAAUAUGUAAUUAUUUAUUUAAGGAAACAAUCUUACAAUAAUUAAUAUGCUAUACAAAUUUAAAGCAA